rnacentral:rRNA from 1 species
UACGGAGGGGGCCAGCGUUGUUCGGAAUUACUGGGCGUAAAGGGCGCGUAGGCGGUUUGCUAAGUUGGAUGUGAAAACUCUGGGCUUAACCCAGAGCCUGCAUUCAAAACUGACAGGCUAGAGUUCUGGAGGGGAUAGCGGAAUUCCUGGUGUAGCGGUGAAAUGCGUAGAUAUCCGGAGGAACACCAGGGGCGAAAGCGGCCGACUGGCCGAGUGCUGACGCUGAGGCGCGAAAGCCAGGGGAGCAAACGGG